rnacentral:rRNA from 1 species
AGUGAACGCUGGCGGUAGGCCUAACACAUGCAAGUCGAACGGCAGCACAGUAAGAGCUUGCUCUUACGGGUGGCGAGUGGCGGACGGGUGAGGAAUACAUCGGAAUCUACUUUUUCGUGGGGGAUAACGUAGGGAAACUUACGCUAAUACCGCAUACGACCUACGGGUGAAAGCAGGGGAUCGUCUGACCUGGCGCGAUUGGAUGAGCCGAUGUGGGAUUAGCUAGUUGGCGGGGUAAAGGCCCACCAAGGCGACGAUCCGUAGCUGGUGUGAGAGGAUGAACAGCCACACUGGAACUGAGACGCGGUCAAGACUCCUACGGGAGGGAGCAGUGGGGAACAUUGGACAAUGGGCGCGAGCAUGAUACAGCCAUACCGCGUGGGAGAAGAGGGCCUUCGGGUUGUAAAGACCUUUUGUUGGGAAAGAAAAGCAGCAGGUUAAUACCCCGCUGUUCUGACGGUACCCAAAGAAUAAGCACCGGCUAACUUCGUG